CUCUCUGCCUGCCAGGGGAGACACCAUGAUCCCGAAGGUGGUGUUCCCAGGGUGAGGCUCACCCAUUGCGCUCUGGGUGUGCUGACCCCCUAUGAUUUCCCCAAUUGCAGGAAACCCGACUGCAUAAUUUGUGGUAUGAAUAUUCAAAGUUUUAAUCUUUG